rnacentral:tRNA from 1 species
GGGCUUGUAGCUCAGCUGGCUAGAGCGCUGCAUUCGCAUUGCAGAGGUCAGGGGUUCGAUUCCCCUCAAGUCCA